CAACGGCCGUCAUGCGUCAUCCAAAAGAUCUAAACAUUUUGUAUAUGCGAAUGGUACACACAAGGGAAUGCGAAUGAGAUUACGCUUUGCUAUAGCGGGAUCAAAGGCUACAGAUGAGAUUUGAUACCCAUCCGACUAUGUCAUAACCCAAGCUCCUAUCCAUUAGACCACGGAGACAUUCCACGUACAACAGUGAAGCAAGGAGUUCAUAUUUUUCUUUGCACAUUUUCGUAGUUUGACCUUUUCCUAUGAACAGUUUCCUCGCAACAUUAUGUCAACAUUCUUCCUAACAAAUCUCCUAGUGCAGGUGCUGCUCGGUUUUGUAAAUAAUCUCGCGUUCGAGGCUAAAAAAUAAAUAAUACUCAAACAGACAUUCAUAUACACAGCAAAAUGUUCGCAACAAAGCGUGUGGGUGAGCAGACGGCAGCAGCAGCAAUCAGGCGGCAGUGUUUUUAUUGAAAGCACACGAGCAAAAAGUUGAAAAUACCAACAACAGUAUUUUGAAUCCCUGAUGUAGAAAUCUUUAAAUGAAAAAAAUAUACAGCUCUCUCGAUG